rnacentral:rRNA from 1 species
AGGACGAACGCUGGCGGCGUGCUUAACACAUGCAAGUCGAACGGAAAGGCCCUUCGGGGUACUCGAGUGGCGAACGGGUGAGUAACACGUGGGUGAUCUGCCCCGCACUUUGGGAUAAGCCUGGGAAACUGGGUCUAAUACCGAAUAGGACCAUGGCAUGCAUGUGCUGUGGUGGAAAGCUUUUGCGGUGUGGGAUGGGCCCGCGGCCUAUCAGCUUGUUGGUGGGGUUAAGGCCUACCAAGGCGACGACGGGUAGCCGGCCUGAGAGGGUGUCCGGCCACACUGGGACUGAGAUACGGCCCAGACUCCUACGGGAGGCAGCAGUGGGGAAUAUUGCACAAUGGGCGCAAGCCUGAUGCAGCGACGCCGCGUGGGGGAUGACGGCCUUCGGGUUGUAAACCCCUUUCAGUAGGACGAAGCGCAAGUGACGGUACCUACAGAAGAAGCACCGGCCAACUACGUGCCAGCAGCCGC